rnacentral:rRNA from 1 species
CGAGUGGCGAACGGGUGAGUAACACGUGGGUGAUCUGCCCUGCACUCUGGGAUAAGCCUGGGAAACUGGGUCUAAUACCGGAUAGGACCAUGCUUUAGUGUGUGUGGUGGAAAGUUCUUUCGGUGUAGGAUGAGCCCGCGGCCUAUCAGCUUGUUGGUGGGGUAAUGGCCUACCAAGGCGGCGACGGGUAGCCGGACUGAGAGGUUGGUCGGCCACAUUGGGACUGAGAUACGGCCCAG